GAUGCCAUUGGCAGCUCAGGAUUUCUAUUGCUUUCAUUUUGACUAAUAACUAACCUGGACAAGAUAUACACUUUCAAAAAGCACAAAAGAUCGAGCUAGCUAGAACUGAACUUGAUUAGCUCUAGUCUCCACAUUGCCGAAGAUAACUUGCAUAUGUAAAAUUAUACUAGCGGCUAUUUGGUAACUCUGGCCAAUAUUGGACCGUCAGUUUAAUUCAUUAGCUCUAGUUAAUUAAAUAAGUUAACGAUUCUUCAUUUCUUCUCCAAGAUAUAUACAUGUUCACCUAUCUGAUUAUACAACAUUGUAUAUAUUAGCUUUAGUCUUCACCUAUCCCCUGUUUACUAUAAACGAUCUUGACUGUUUCAAGGUACGCACCUGAGAAAUUAAGCCUAUGCAUGAAGUCAUUUACAUAAAGUUAGUGGCAUCCCAUGACGAAAUUCUUAAUAGCUGGAUUAGUUGGAACUAAACCCUUAAUUAAUUAAUGAAAUGGUUCAUCAGCUACCUACUAGCUAGUAGUGAUGAAAGGCUAACUAUAUAAACCGUGAACAUCUUCCUCAAUUCUCAUUCUAAAAUAUCUUUAAGCCAUACAAGUUCCAAUGGCCAAUCUUUGGCCUAGCCUGCUUAUUGCCUUGGCAAUAGCCUUUCUAGCCAACAGUCAUGUAGCUGCUAGUUAUGAGACACCAUAUAUUUAUGCAUCGCCUCCACCACCUUACGUAUACAAGUCACCACCACCACCAUCUCCAUCACCACCUCCUCCUUACCUUUACAAGUCACCGCCACCACCUUCGCCAUCUCCUCCUCCACCAUACAUUUACAAGUCACCGCCACCUCCUUCUCCCAAGUCGUAUGUCUACAAGUCACCACCACCACCAUCUGAUGACAAGCCGUACGUCUACAAGUCUCCUCCUCCACCAUCCUCCCCUAAGCCUUACGAAUACAAGUCUCCUCCACCACCAUCACCGAAACCGUAUGUAUACAAGUCUCCACCACCACCAUCCCCAAAGCCUGCUUACGUGUACAAGUCUCCUCCUCCACCAUCCCCUAAGCCGUACGUAUACAAGUCUCCUCCACCACCAUCACCGAAGCUGUACGUUUACAAGUCACCACCACCACCAUCUCACAAGCCGUACGUCUACAAGUCUCCUCCUCCACCAUCCCCUAAGCCAUACGAAUACAAGUCACCACCACCACCACCAUCCCCAAAGCCUUCUUACUUGUACAAGUCUCCUCCUCCACCAUCCCCUAAGCCGUACAUAUACAAGUCUCCUCCACCACCAUCACCAAAGCUGUACGUUUACAAGUCACCACCUCCACCAUCCCCUAAGCCGUACGUAUACAAGUCUCCUCCUCCACCAUCCCCUAAGUCGUACGAAUACAAGUCACCACCACCACCAUCUGAUGACAAGCCGUACAUAUACAAGUCUCCCCCACCACCAUCAUCAAAGCCGUACUUGUACAAGUCACCACCACCACCAUCUCACAAGCCGUACGUCUACAACUCUCCUCCACCACCAUCACCGAAGCCGU
rnacentral:lncRNA from 1 species